UACAGAGGGGGCAAGCGUUGUUCGGAAUUACUGGGCGUAAAGGGCGCGUAGGCGGCCAACUAAGUCGGACGUGAAAUCCCCAGGCUCAACCUGGAAACUGCGUCCGAUACUGGAUGGCUUGAAUCCGGGAGAGGGAUGCAGAAUUCCAGGUGUAGCGGUGAAAUGCGUAGAUAUCUGGAGGAAUACCGGUGGCGAAGGCGGCAUCCUGGACCGGCAUUGACGCUGAGGAGCGAAAGCCAGGGGAGCAAACGGG
rnacentral:rRNA from 1 species